rnacentral:lncRNA from 1 species
AUUUACUAAAUAUUUGUCAAUUGAAAAAAAAAAAGGAAAAUAAACUCGUCAAAAUCUAGUAAAUAAUUAUUUUCUAUGUUUUUCGAUGUUCUUCAUUACAAUUAGAUCGUCAACCGAUCUUCGAAAUCAAGAGAUUGAAAGCUACAUAUGUUUUGCAUGUUUCUCAAAACCUCAAUUACAUUUCCUCAGCCGAUCAAUGCAUAUAUCAUGUUUAUAUAUCAUCCAACUCAAAAUCUCUUGGUAAUCAAAACUAAUGAAAAGUUAAUCAGGCCAAUAGUAUAUGAAGAUUGAAUUGAAACCGAAUCCAACA